rnacentral:rRNA from 1 species
UACGGGGAGGGCAAGCGUUGUUCGGAAUUACUGGGCGUAAAGGGCUCGUAGGCGGCCAACUAAGUCCGACGUGAAAUCCCAAGGCUUAACCUUGGAACUGCGUCGGAUACUGGAUGGCUUGAAUUCGGGAGAGGGAUGCGGAAUUCCAGGUGUAGCGGUGAAAUGCGUAGAUAUCUGGAGGAACACCGGUGGCGAAGGCGGCAUCCUGGACCGACACUGACGCUGAGGAGCGAAAGCGUGGGGAGCGAACAGG